GUGACAGGGACAGGCCCCCUGGGUGCGCGGAGGCCCUCAGCCAUGGUGUGUGUUUUGGGGGGGUACGGGGUCAGCACCGGGGCAGUGUGUCCUGUGCUGAUCUGACCCACGCACCCGGCCACCCCACGGGACAGAGACAGGUCGGGGCAGGGGGGAAGUGAGACUGUUCCUGGAAGGGUCGCCCCUUUCCUAGCACUGUCCUCCAGAGCCUCCUGUGCCCUCGGCCCCCUGGACCACCCCGGGGCCCCGGAGCUGUGCGGGAAGCCUCCACCCUCAGAAGCAGGCCGUCCAGCCUGCCUAGCCCGGGAAGCCAGGUCAGCUGGGUGGCUCAGGGCCAUGGACACAGUCCCAGGUGGGAGGAGGGACCCCUCGGGUGCCCUGCUGGGAUGACGAUUUUAAGUAAUCUGCAGUAUUGUCGGGUCUUGGACAGAGGCCAGCUUCCCGGUCGGCAGACCUGGUUCAAAUCCUGCCAUGUGAAAAAAAAAAACAAAAAACAAAUCCUGCCGUGUGGCCCUGGGCAAACUACCGAAGCUCUCUGCGCUCCUCGUCCCCAGGCAGGGGGACCCAGGGUGCUAAUGCUGAAAAUGCAGCAGGUACAGGUGCAGGCAGGAGCCAGGUCUCUUCCUCCCCGUCUCUCUCCUGCCCCCUGUCCCUGUGGCCUCCAGACCAAGCAGCCUGGCAGUCCUCUCAGGGUGCCUGGGGCUGGCAGGGCGGUGGCCCAGCAGACCACCAAGCCCAAGGUGGGGUCCGCACGGCUCGGGGUAAACAGAGGACGGCUGAGGUGGCCGCAGGUGGCUUCUGCACCUGCCAGGUGAGCGGAGAGGCCCGUCCAGUGGUGCCCGGCAGCUGGGAGCAAUGCCAUGCGGCCCAGCAGGGCUGGCUCCGUUCUCACUGCCUCCCCCUCAAUCAUAGCCUGGCCCCUCCAGCUGCACUUGGUCACAUCUCGGCAGCACAGAGGUGACGGGUGGGCUGGACGCAGGGCCAGAUGAAUCCCAGGCCGCUGCCCCAGUUCCCGGCCCGGCAGCGCCUCCCGGUGUCCUGGGUGCUCGGUAGCUGGACUCCCUGCAUCACCCCCACGCCUCCCAGGCCUCUCUCCAGGGGAGGGCCUGGCGUCAGGGUUUCCGCCAGGGACCCCGAGAACCCCUGCACUGUCACAUCUUUUGGAAGGUGCUGAAGGCUGGGCCAAGGAACCUGUGGAGCAGCGGACGGAGGUCCUGCUGAGGACCUGACCGCCUCCCUCCUGGGACGGCGGAUCUGAGAGGAGGCCUGCUCGGCCAGAGCAUUCGUGCCCCUCACAACCCCAACAGGACAGGGCCUGUCCAGCCCAGAGUCCUAAGAUGAGAGGGAGGAGGCUGUGCCUCUUUCCAGGUUGGGGGAGUCCCAGGGCAAGGUCUUCAGCACCAGCCACCCUCUGCCACGAGUGGACCAGUGAGACCACGAUCACAUCGUCAAAAGGAGAGCUCCAAACAGGGGCAGGUGGCCCUGCUCCCUCACCCCGGCCCCUGGGCACCCCCUCCGGCCUCCCCUCAUGGCCUCCCCACCCCCACAGUUGGAGGUCUCUGGGCACCCAGUCAGGCCCCCUACUUCCCGCACCUCUCUUGUGAGGGCUUCCAGUCCUCAAUUGGAAGCACCCAGAAGACCCCGUUAGGCCCAGGUCACCCAGCAAAAGAUCUGGAGUGGGAGGGAGGCGGGGUGGCAUGAACCCUUCCAAAGCACCCUCACGCCUGCUGCGGCUCCACCUGGGCACCGGGGCUGUGCAGCCCCUAAAUUGCAUGGGGGAUUCCUGACUAAUGGCUUUUCAGGGGUCCUUGUGCACCCGGGCCCCCGACUCCCAGCUGGCAUGAUUAGCAGUGAGUUCAAUGGCAGGAAAAUUAUUAAUUUCCAUCCCCAAGUUUACUUCUGGGGAAGUUUGCCAAUUAACUCAGCAAACCGAGGCACCCGGAGUAGGUAGGGAGAGGCAGGCAGAGACCCAGGACAGUCCUGGCGAGGGCCGUGGGGGGAAGCAGGUAUAGACUCCAUGAUCCUCAGGAGCUUGGAGGGCCACAGAGGAAUUAGGAGGCCGCCCCCAGCCCCUACCCACCCAUGGCCACUGGCAAAUGGCAGGAGGGGCAAGUCUGCCUUGGUCCUGGUCUUCUGGGCCGUUGCUGCUAGACUGUGAGUGUGUGUGUGUUGGGGGCCAGACAUGGUAGGUUGGGCUGGGAGCCCUAGCUCUCACAGUGUACACGUGUGAACAGCAAAGCUGAUACUUCAGCACCACGUCUGAAUGCAGGAGCUGGUGGCCUUGGAUCCUGUGACAACCAGGGCCCGAGUGUGUUUCAGGUUUUCAGAUGUCCUGCUGGACGGUCCCC
rnacentral:lncRNA from 1 species